GUGCUUGCGUCUGCAGCAUGUACACUUGAAAUUGAAAUGAUACAGAGAAGAUUAGCUCAGGAUGAUGUGCAAAUUCAUGAAGCAUUCCAUAUUAAA
rnacentral:snRNA from 2 species